ensembl:lncRNA
UGACAUCUGGUGGUGGUGCUAGGUCCCUAAUGACAUCAGUCCGGUCUUACCACAGUUGACAACAACUGCCACCAUAUACCUACUCCACAGUAUGUCAUACACACACACUGCUAUUAUGCAAUAUGAAAGGAGUGGUCAUCAGUAAAAACAUCUUUGCCAAUCGUAUUUAUUUUACGCACGGAGACAUACAAAAAGUGUAAAUAAAACCACAGGUCGAUGUGUGUGAAAACACAUGUCUCUUGAGUGUGUCAAUCCCAGGAGAAGUCCUGGCCUGAACGUUCUCCAGUCUGAGUCCUGGCCUGAACGUUCUCCAGUCUGAGUCCUGGCCUGAACGUUCCCCAGUCUGAGUCCUGGCCUGAACGUUCUCCAGUCUGAGUCCUGGCCUGAACGUUCCCCAGUCUGAGUCCUGGCCUGAACGUUCCCCAGUCUGAGUUCUGGCCUGAACGUUCUCCAGUCUGAGUCCUGGCCUGAACGUUCUCCAGUCUGAGUUCUGGUCCCUCUCUACCCAGCAGGGUUCCACUCAGAGCCCACUGGAACUGGGCAGCAGGCUUGGACUCAGAAGAGCAGGACAGGGUGAUGUCAGAGCCUGAGUGAUAGGAUGGGCCCUUAGGUGUAGCCACCAUGGUCACCUCAUCAGGUCCGUCUGUAAGAUGAAAGGCUCAUGUUGCAUCACAGACUUUAUUAAAAUUUCAUAUCAUAAUUCCUUUUGACUGCAUGGAUUAUUUUGCAAACUUGACAUAAAACAGCCUUCAUGACGCCUGAACUCACAGAGAACGCUGAAAGCCAGGUGCCCCAUGACCACCCCGCUCACAUCAUUGGAGGCCUCACAUAUGGAAGGCCCCAUGUCACCAGUCAGACCAGUCCUUUGGUAGGGGAGUCGUUGAGAGUGUUGUCUGCACACAUCGCUAUGGUGAGGGGUUCUCUAGAUUUGGCUUAAAAUGACCCAGAGGAGAUCACAGACUGUUUGGCCUUGCUGGAAUAGCUGGCUAAAUGUGUGAAAAUGAAAUAUAUAUGUUUUUACUGACUUGCCCCUGCAUUCAAAUGAUACAAGCACAACCAGCCUGUUUCACACCAACUGUAAUGACUGUAUUUUGCCACCAUGUGGCAGUAUUGUGUAUAUAUCCACAACAUACAUAGGUCAAUACUACAAACACCAAUGGUGAAAAUAAUCAAACAGAAAUGACUGACCAUCAAACAAACAAACAAAAAUAUUUUCACUGUUAGUUAUAGCAGCGAUUACAAUUUUAGAAAACACUGACUCAUCAUUUGGAGGACAAACUAUAUUCUACUAUAUGAUCACUUUAAACUUGUUUUGCAUAUAACAAGCCUUUUAAUGCUUCUGUAAUGAUAUAAUGUGUCUAGCAGUCUGUCAGGGCACAGGGACACUUGAUGUCGAUGAUGCUAUAUGAAACAGAAGGUCAUAGUCAGGCCUGAAUGAAUAGAUACCAAAUGUACUACUGUACUGUCAUGUAUUUCCUUGUUCUGUUUAUGCAGGUGAGUGGGAAUGUAAACAAUGCCAUGUGAUCAGUGUUGGAUCGGGUCACCCUCUGAAACCAACAAGGUUUUAUUUCCCCACAGUAAUCAGUGAGUGACAUCCAUUUUUGACAUUAUUGAUUUGGUGAGAUUAGAUAGGUAUUUCCUCUCUCUCAGACCCUUCAGUUGACCAUUACAAAUACAUGUUAAUGACUCAAAUUAGGCUGUACGCAGUGACACACAUCGUCAACAGAGCACCAACUAAAAAAACUCAGUUUGGUCCUUACACUUGUCAUUACAGAAAACUCUUUGACACAGCAAUAUUGUAAUGAAGGCAUGUAUGUAGUCGUUGCAUUCAUCAGUUUCAAGAAAUUGAAAAUAAACGUGCUGUAGAUGUGUUAAUGUAGUAUAUGAUUGGAUUCUCUCUGAUCACACACAGAUCAAGCGGGUGUCUGGUAUUGUAGUACACAUUAUGUGGAUUAGGAGUGUGUUGAUUUUCUCCCUCGAACGCUGUGAAGGGUUUUAUUUUACUUUAAAGGUUAUGUCUAUCAGUAAUGCAUGAGUGAUAUCUUGACUUUGUACGUUUAUUUAUUUGGUGAGAUGGAAUCUGUUGGUCCUCUGUCUGUCAAAGCCACUUCAGUUGAACUCUCCAAAUGUGUCAAUGACUGACUAAAGUGAGGCGUUAUAAAAACACAGCGAUACACUUCCUCAAAAGAUAAGGUCCUUAUACUUGCUUCUUUAUUCAUCAUAACAAAAUUUCUGUGCUUAUUUCUUCAUUAUAACAAAAUAUCUGUGUAAUUUCAACACAAGAAUAUUGUAAUGUAGGCAUGUGUGUGGCUUUUGCAUUCAUCAGUAACAGGAUUAAUAUUUAUUGAAAACAAACUCACAGGAUUAUAUAGUUCAACAUGCUGUGGAUGAGUUAAUCAGGUAUAUUAUUUGAUUAUCUCUAGCAAUCUUUUUUUCACACCAGCAGGCCUCCUCUGAAAUGAACUGUCUCCGUUGAUGUUUGUGUCACACAGGUAGAGGUCAUAGGCCUGUCACUCAGGUUUUCCUAUUAUGGUUUCAUAGACCUGUUCAGAUACAUAUUGGAUAAAGUAACAAAAAGUGAGUGAUAUAACUCAAUCAAGCAUAUUCUGUUUUGGGGUCUGAAAUUAUUCUGAAGUUACAAAUGAAAACACACUGAUUUCAAAAGUGCAAGGCAUUUGUGUACUCACUGUAGAAUGAAAACAAACUGAUUUCAAAAGUGCAAGGCAUUUGUGUACUCACAGUAGAAGGAAAACAAACUGAUUUCAAAGUGCAAGGCAUUUGUGUACUCACUGUAGAAUGAAAACAAACUGAUUUCAAAAGUGCAAGGCAUUUGUGUACUCACUGCAGAAGGAAAACAAACUGAUUUCAAAAGUGCAAGGCAUUUCUGUACUCACUGCAGAAGGAAAACAAACUGAUUUCAAAAGUGCAAGGCAUUUGUGUACUCACGGUAGAAGGAAAACAAACUGAUUUCAAAAGUGCAAGGCAUUUGUGUACUCACUGUAGAAGGAAAUGAGUGGGCAGGGAGAGGGGUCUCAUACACAUGACCAUCCAAGCCUGAAACAGACAGGAAGUCAUUUGGUUGAGAUUUGUGUUCAUUAUUUCUUUGUUUAAGAUUUCCUUUUCAACUGAAUGUCCCUACAUGAUGACCAAACCCUAUUUCAUGACAUUAUUGGCAUUUAUGGUGUCUUUAUGUCUAUAUUUCAUUUUCCGCUGAAAGUGUUUACAUUAUAUGUCAAAUUCUACUUUCUAGAGAAGAAAGCUUGAAAGCUGGUGACUGUAUUGCUUUUCAGUACCAUGACAGCUGAAAACAUACAAUAGUGUAAAAUAAUGUGACUUGCAGUUUAAUUUUCCUCAGUUUUGAUUCAGACCUGCUUGAUGUUGGUUGAUGCUUGAUGUUGAGUCACCACCUUUUCUGCUGCAUGGUCUGAGUGCCUGCUGAGGAUUUCUACCAGCUGAAUUGGGUGUCACCUGAGCAGGUCCACCCAGUAGUUCUGGGUUUCUCAUAGUAUUUGCGUAGGUAUGGGUGUCCUUUUGGGUAACAUAGCACAACAUAGAGCAUUUUAAAGCAUAAAUAUUUAAUUUAUAUCUCACUGUAAUGAUAUGAAUCAGAAAGGCUGUGUAUAUAAUCAAAUCCAAACGAAUGUCAUUCAUGAUAAUGUUUUCACAUAUUACGUGAGGCUUAAUUUGUUCUUGGUGAUAACACAAACGUCAUGGGUUCCACAUCCAGGAAAUCAACCAUAUUUACCAGGUAUACUAUUUAUACACCAGGUAUACUACUUAUAUAAGCUUAAAUGCUUUGAUGAAAUUGUGGAAUUGUUAAAUGAAUAAUAAUUGUAAUUGAUUUUACUCACAGGUAUUUCAUAGACUGCCUCAUCUGAAUGAGAGACAAAUGAGAUGUUUAUGCUAUAAGAUAUGUAUAACUGCAAACAUUACUUUAGAAAAAAUAACAUUUAGGGAAUAUGAAUGACAAAAAGCUUGUGAUUAUCUUGCAGGAGACAAAAUAAGUAAUGUAAUACAAUCAACUAGAACCUCUUCUUGUAGGAUCUCCAGGCAAACUCCUGUUAUUGUAGGGUCCAGACAGGACACACACACACACACACACACACACACACACACACACACACACACAAACACAGCAUACAGAAGGAAAAAGUAAUCACUAAAGGACAGUACAUCUCUUUGAGACUAAAAUUACUAAUUCAUUCUACACUCUGAAUGUGCAUUAAAAUCCCACAAUAUGGACCUAAAGCUUGUUUGAAAGAUAUUUUGCUUUAAUAUACAAGGGUGAUUACAGAAGCAUAAUACAAAUUGAUACUUUUUAAACCUAACAAUCCCACAAACUAACUGCAGGAAGUUAUUAUGUUUGUUUAAAUGAAAUCAAUUGAAUUGGGUGCCUUCUCCAUCAAUAAGAAUAGAAUUGAAUCAAUAGAAUGAAUGAAUGAAUCAAACGUAUAGCUGCAAGCAGCAAUGAGGGGCCAUGCAGCCUAGCAGGCCAGUGUUGCCAUGGGAACCUGAUGUCAUUGUGUCAAAGGCAUGACUGUAAGCACUCACAGCAAGUUUCAUGUCAAUUCACCAAAGAUUACUCGAGAUUUGAGCUCACUCCCUGUUUGGCAGGUUGACCGUUGAAUUCGAUAGGCUGUAAAAAAAAUAUCUUUUCAUGAAGCUCGGUCUAAAGAUUAUCUGUGCCAAAUUUGGAGAUUUGACAAGGUUAUUGAUUAAAUCCCAUACGGUGGCCAUGUAAAUUUGGUUGAGUUGAUAGGAGGCCAUGUCCUGAGAUCUCCUUAUAUAUCACCAGACAUAACCACUGGUGAAAAACUGGUGAAAUGUUUUUUGGACAUUCUCAGGAAGGGGAACUGAAAGUUUGACUCGAAAUUGACUCAAUGUACGAACGUAAUUACUCUAUACGUUGAACAAAUACUGACAUUAGAGACGUUACUCUUGUAGUAUAUUGGGCUGUGUUGUGUUCUGACAGCCAAUCACGUUAGACUAGGAAGUUCGGGUCCACUGUUCUAGCUUAUAUACAUGUGGUAAUCAGUUGCUACUGUACUCCAUUAGUAAAGCUAAUGAUUUGCCUCUAAGCCAUUGCGUAUUCAUUUCAUGCGGCACGGAACAUGAUAUGGUGUCAGAAGUAGCGAACCGCUGAACAUUUUCGCCUGGAGUGAAGGUGAAUUGCCUGUGGAUAGCCUGCGUGGAUAGCCUGCUUGGACAGCUAGUCUACAACCAUCGUUGCUAGCACGCUCUAACGCUGCAGUGAGUACGAGGGCAGACUGUUUCACUCUGUAACGAUGCAAUCAUUCACUCCGCCGUCACCGUUGUCCCUGACGGGAAACCUUGCAGAAAAUUGGCGAAGAUGGGAGCAAAGAUUGCGCCUCUAUCUCUUGGCUAGUGGACUUAAUGACAAAGCAGAAGGUCGGAAAAUAGCCGUGCUGCUACACUGCAUUGGUGAGGAUGCGUUGGAGAUCAACAACACGCUGGAAAUUACCUAUGAAGAUAACGACAACAAAACAAUGGACGAGGUAAUACAAGCUUUUGAAAAUUACUGUGCACCACGUAGGAACACUGUUUUUGAAAGGCACCAAUUCUGGGCACAUCAGUUUCAUGAACAUACUGGCAUUGACAAGUUUGUCACGGAAUUGAGACAGAGAGCAUGCACUUGUGAGUUCAAAGACACUGAGGAUUUAAUGCUCAGGGACAAAAUUGUGUUCAGUGUUUCGGAUGCACGUCUCAGGGAGAAACUGUUAAUUGUCUCAGACUUAUCUCUAACCAAAGCCAUCGACAUAUGCCGCACCAAGGAAGUUACACAGGCUCAGGCCAAAGUCAUGGCGGCUAGUGGUAGCACAGAGCAAGAGGUGCUUGCAAUAGAGAAACGUGGGUGGCAACGCCAGACAUCAAGAUCGCGUGCGAGCCCGACCAGUGAACAGCAGGAGAAGACAUGCGACAGAUGUGGCAGAAUGCACAAGCCCAGGAACUGUCCCGCGUUCAAUGUGGAAUGUAGAAAAUGCGGCAAGAGAAACCAUUUUGCAGCCGUGUGCCGAUCAGCAUCUGAUGUUGCACCCAUUGAUACAGAAAGCAUGGGUGUGGAUGCACUGUUCAUUGGUGCUGUCACACGAGCACAGGCUCGCUCUAAAGACACUGGGUGGCGCACAUCGCUCCGAGUGGGUGGGCAAACGGUCAACUUCAAGCUUGACAUAGGGGCUGAAGCCAACGUGCUGCCACAAUCAAUAGCAAAUAUAAUGCCCAAGCAACAUACACUGAAGAAGACAAACACUGUACUGGU